GCGGAUAAUUAGUAACUGUUUCAUUCGGUGAUACUUCAACCUCCUUUUCUCUUGAUCUUGUUUUUCUUUUAUUAUCGCUUACAAGAGCCAUAGCCCAAUGUCUCUCCUCAUCCCUCGGGUUCUCUUGCCACAACAUCCUGCCACCAUCAAACUUGACCUUUGAUGCUGCCAAUCCCAUUAGACGCACCCUUUUUUCUCUUUCCUCUCUUUGAAUAAAUAUCCUCAAACCUUACUAACCCUGAACCUUCUUUCCCAAGGUACCAUCGAUGCUAUUUUUGCUCGUUCAGACGAAGACAAUGACACCGGGCUCUUUGUUUUGUCCUGUUUUUCAGAUUUGAUUGCCAUCUUCUCCUACUCCUACGUGGUUCAAAUCUAUUGUAGCUAUAUAGAUUUCUAAUGAAGAUAUUGGACUUUAUAAGGUUAGUUUAUAGUGUCUUCUUUAUUGGAUUUUCUCAAGCAAGGGAUCGAUAGCGGACUUACUGGCCACCUCGAGGAUCCUCUUGCUCCUCCUUGCUCUUCUCCUUCUUAGCCUCAACCUUGGUAUGCAGGACUGACUAUAGUGGAUUUGCUAAUGGCUGAUGUCAAGGUCUUGGAGGCAUAUGCAGGUUACUUCUAUUAUUUGUCUAAGAUGUGGUAUAGGCCCUUUCUUAAAGUUUAUGACCCUCAGGAUGUUGCUCACUACUUCAGUUCCAAGGCCCAUGUCGUGGGGCUUCAGAUUCUUGAGGUACCCUCCUUUGCCGCUACUGUGAUCAAUAUUUGAACUUCGGGGAUUAGAAAGUUUCUACAACUAAGUUCAAAAGAGGAGUUGGAUGAUAAAACUUCCGAUUAUAAUUUUGGACUGAAGCUAAAGGAAACAGUGCUUAAUCUUGGCCCAUCCUUUAUAAAAGUUGGUUAGUCCCUUUUCUACAAGACUAAAUAUCAUUGGUGUUGAGAUGUCCAAGGUUAGAUUAAAAACUAUAUCUCUAUUACUAUUUUUUUUAUUGGUGGACAUUUCUUUCUAGCAAUGAAUUCCAAAGGAAAGACCAAUGAAUUCCAAAGGAAGGGCUUAUUAUUGGUUAUGAGCAGUCAUAAUCUCUUGUUGGAUGAAGAUAAUACAUGGUUAUAAGUCAAAUUAUUAGUGACUUAGUGUUAAGUACGUUCUUUAGUAGUGAUAAUAAUUUAAGUGUAAAAAGGUAUUUUUGUUUUCUAUCUUAGACUCAUAUGGCAUCUACCUCUGACUCUGUGCUGAACUCUUUUUCUUAGGCCAUGUACAAGUACACCAUAAUUCCAUUUCAAUGUGUUUGUAAUGCUAUUUACAUUUUGAGAUUUUAAAGUUUGGAUAACUUUCUUGGCAAUUUAUCCUUAUACUUUCUUCUUGUAGGCAUUGUCUCAGAAUUAUACUUUUUCUCAGAAUUGUCACUCAUUCUAAUACCAUGUUUAUUUUUAAAGAAUAAUUUUGCUCACAAUUGUUAGUGCCACCAAUGGUCACAAUAGCAACACAACUGUAUCUUUUAAGAUAAUUACAAGAUGUUUGUGAAAGUAACCCUUUGCUGACUCCAACAUUGCUACUGUCACCCUAAACCUCGUCCCAACCGCAAAGAAGAGGAGCAGGGGUGCUAUUUGCACCUUCACCGCUGCCCCGCAUUGUCACUGUCGAGAAGUAGAACAAGAUAGAGAGAGACACGAAGAAGAAUGACAAAGGCCACCACCGCUGCUACUGUCGUCGCUGGGCUCGCCGGAAGCUGCCGUGACCACUACUAAGCUCCGCGCUGUCAUUGGAGUCACUGAAGAAGGUGUCUUUGCUGCCUCUUCGGUUUAAGUCCUUCGCUCAACUUGUUUUACUUCCACUUUUACUCUACUGUUAUCCUAUUUCUUCUACCUUGUUUCCAUUCCGUUCUUUGUCAGUUAUCGAAACUGCAAUUAUUGUUGUUUCCUGCCAGGGUUGCUAUUCAGGUUCUGUACAACUCGCCCUGUCUCCAUUUAUUUUCGGCCGUUGCUCAGCCAUCACCAAAGCCCUCUGCCGCCGAGAGCAAAUACUAGAGCUAUUGAUAAUAAUUUUGCCACUGUAAUUGUAAUUUGUAAAUGACGCGGUUGCUAUAAGAGGCGUCGGAGCUGUUGUUGUUUCCAUGGGGAUUAAUGCUAUCGCUGCUGCCAUGAAUUAAAAAGAAAGGAAAUUGUCAUGAUAAGUCUAUGCGAACUCGGCUAAUCAAGUGUUGAAUGUUGGAGAACUUAGUUUAUGCAUUAUCCAUGGAGGGACUGAUUUUUAGCUAUUUUUUUCUUUCUCGCUUUGCCUUAAUAUGUUUGCCUUUCUGUGAGAAAAUAUAGCUUAAAUUUAUCAAAUAUCUUAUUUAUGUAAAAUUUUGGGCAGUCUAGUAGUUGGCCCAGUUGGCAACAAAAACUGAGAGGAGAGAAAUGAAUGAAAAGAUAUGAUGAGCCAUCACACAAGAUUGAUUCAAUCAGGUGUGUCAAGUUCAAUUCUACUUAGCAUGGGGACUUAUCCAUGCUUACUGUGUAGAACAGUACUUGUAUUUCUCUUUUUGGUUGUGUUUUAUGGUGCAUCAGUUUCUUUGUAUAUUUCAACAACCAAGCACAUCUGCAAGCUGAGAAUAAAAAGUCUAAAGAAUCAGCAAUUAGAGCUUUCUAAUCCAUAUUUGAGAAAGAGAAGGCAGGGCGAGUGCGAUAUUACAAAAGAGUUACCACAUAUAGUUCGAGGUUAUUAUAACUUAGGCUAGUAUUAUGGUAUUUUGAAAAACGAUGAUGAUAUCAUUAAAAGUACUUAUGACUUAGACUAGUAUUAUAGUAUUUUACAAUGAUGAUAUAAUGUGAUUGAGGAUCUUACAUAAUACUUUAUAAAUCAAAUUUGAUGGUAAA